rnacentral:misc_RNA from 1 species
CCUAGAGUUGUAGGCUUUGCCUGUUAUCUCUUACCCAUGUCUUUUGAGUACCUUCGUUUCCUCGGCGGGUCCGCCCGCCGAUUGGACAAUUUAAACCAUUUGCAGUUGCAAUCAGCGUCUGAAAAAACUUAAUAGUUA